AUUGAACGCUGGCGGCAUGCCUAACACAUGCAAGUCGAACGCGAAAGUCCUUCGGGGCGAGUAGAGUGGCGGACGGGUGAGUAAUGCGUGGGAAUCUGCCUCGUAGUGGGGGACAACCCGGGGAAACUCGGGCUAAUACCGCAUACGUCCUACGGGAGAAAGGGGGCCUCUGCUUGCAAGCUCCCGCUAUGAGAUGAGCCCACGUCCGAUUAGCUAGUUGGUAGGGUAAAGGCCUACCAAGGCGACGAUCGGUAGCUGGUCUGAGAGGAUGACCAGCCACACUGGGACUGAGACACGGCCCAGACUCCUACGGGAGGCGGCAGUGGGGAAUAUUGGACAAUGGGCGAAAGCCUGAUUCAGCAAUGCCGCGUGUGCGAAGAAGGCCUGCGGGUUGUAAAGCACUUUCAGUGGGGAAGAAAAGCCUGGGGCGAAUACCCUUGGGUCUUGACGUUACCUACAGAAGAAGCACCGGCUAACUCCGUGCCAGCCGCCGCCGUAAGAC
rnacentral:rRNA from 1 species